rnacentral:rRNA from 1 species
GAUGAACGCUGGCGGCGUGCCUAAUACAUGCAAGUCGAGCGAACAGACGAGGAGCUUGCUCCUCUGACGUUAGCGGCGGACGGGUGAGUAACACGUGGAUAACCUACCUAUAAGACUGGGAUAACUUCGGGAAACCGGAGCUAAUACCGGAUAACAUGUUGAACCGCAUGGUUCAACAGUGAAAGACGGUCUUGCUGUCACUUAUAGAUGGAUCCGCGCCGCAUUGGCUAGUUGGUAAGGUAACGGCUUACCAAGGCAACGAUGCGUAGCCGACCUGAGAGGGUGAUUGGCCACACUGGAACUGAGACACGGUCCAGACUCCUACGGGAGGCAGCAGUAGGGAAUCUUCCGCGAUGGGGGAAAUCCUGACGGAGCAACGCCGAGUGAGUGAAGAAGGUCUUCGGAUCGUAAAACUCUGUUAUUAGGGAAGAACAAAUGUGUAAGUAACUAUGCACGUCUUGACGGUACCUAAUCAGAAAGCCACGGCUAACUACGUG